rnacentral:rRNA from 1 species
AGAGUUUGAUCCUGGCUCAGGAUGAACGCUGGCGGCGUGCUUAACACAUGCAAGUCGAACGAUUAAGACGGCUUCGGCCGUGUAUAGAGUGGCGAACGGGUGAGUAACACGUGACCAACCUGCCCCGCGCUCCGGGACAACCGCUGGAAACGGCGGCUAAUACCGGAUGCUCCGGGGAGGCCCCAUGGCCUCCCCGGGAAAGCCUUAACGGCGCGGGAUGGGGUCGCGGCCCAUUAGGUAGACGGCGGGGUAACGGCCCACCGUGCCCGCGAUGGGUAGCCGGACUGAGAGGUCGACCGGCCACAUUGGGACUGAGAUACGGCCCAGACUCCUACGGGAGGCAGCAGUGGGGAAUUUUGCGCAAUGGGGGAAACCCUGACGCAGCAACGCCGCGUGCGGGACGAAGGCCUUCGGGUUGUAAACCGCUUUCAGCAGGGAAGAUUCAGACGGUACCUGCAGAAGAAGCUCCGGCUAACUACGUGCCAGCAGCCGCGGUAAUACGUAGGGGGCGAGCGUUAUCCGGAUUCAUUGGGCGUAAAGCGCGCGUAGGCGGCCGCCUAAGCGGAACCUCUAAUCCCGGGGCUCAACCUCGGGCCGGGUUCCGGACUGGGCGGCUCGAGUGCGGUAGAGGCAGGCGGAAUUCCCGGUGUAGCGGUGGAAUGCGCAGAUAUCGGGAAGAACACCGAUGGCGAAGGCAGCCUGCUGGGCCGCCACUGACGCUGAGGCGCGAAAGCUGGGGGAGCGAACAGGAUUAGAUACCCUGGUAGUCCCAGCCGUAAACGAUGGACGCUAGGUGUGGGGGGACCAUCCCCCCGUGCCGCAGCCAACGCAUUAAGCGUCCCGCCUGGGGAGUACGGCCGCAAGGCUAAAACUCAAAGGAAUUGACGGGGGCCC